UACGAAGGGGGCUAGCGUUGUUCGGAAUCACUGGGCGUAAAGCGCACGUAGGCGGCUUUUUAAGUCAGGGGUGAAAUCCUGGAGCUCAACUCCAGAACUGCCUUUGAUACUGAGAAGCUCGAGUCCGGGAGAGGUGAGUGGAACUGCGAGUGUAGAGGUGAAAUUCGUAGAUAUUCGCAAGAACACCAGUGGCGAAGGCGGCUCACUGGCCCGGUACUGACGCUGAGGUGCGAAAGCGUGGGGAGCAAACAGG
rnacentral:rRNA from 1 species